AUAGAUUUCUCAUCCUGCUAUAAAAUUGCUUGUGCCUGAAUCUGUUUGCCGUUGCUAGUCAGAAGUCGAUUAUUACUGGUGUGUUCAGGAUUCUAUUUCUAUAAUCUAAAAUAUGUGUUAAUUCUGAUACAACGUAAAGAGCUAUGUGACCCCUCCUGGAUGGGGCUUCGGUUGGACCUCUGAUUGGGCUCCCCAUAGACUUUGACCCAAGCAUCCUCGUGACAGGGUUUGUCGGAACCGCCAUCGCUUUAGGGUGCGUCUCCGGUGCCGCCAUCAUCACCAAGCGCAGGGAGUACCUGUACCUCGGUGGCCUGACCUCUUCUGGCAUGUCGAUCCUUCGACAUGAAACUCUCAAGAACGCAGGUGACAAGAAGAGGAAGAGGAUGUCCUGAACGUUUCUCCCGCACAUCGUAGAUACCACCAUCGCGGCCUUGUAGGAAUUAAGCUGGCGAUGUGCCACCCUUGUGUAUCUGUUUUUGAUUGUAUGUGGAAGUUGGACGUGCAUACGUGUAUUUGCUCUUGUGAGUAUUUGACUGGAUGAUCUUUGGAUUUAAUCA